GGCCUAAGCAACAAAUUCCAGUGGAACAGAAGUCCAAACCAGAGCAACAGAGUCCAGUCCCCCUGAUCUCUCUCUGGCACGACAAAUGAUGGAGGAAGAUCAGUGCACAGCAAACACGGCUAAAUGGGUCGCAGCCUUGCUCCCGGCGUGUGCACUCGGAACACUUCAGGGCUAAAUCGUGUCCUUUUUGUCCUUGGAUCAUUUGUACAGAUCAAUGAGUGUGUGUACAAGUGAUUUACAAGCCAUGCAGACUCCCGAGUCGAGCACGGAGCUGACAGCCAUGCCAGCGCAUUUACAUUUAAAUGUAUUCAUUUGGCAGACUCUUUCAUCCAAACUGACGCAGUGUGCAAUCCAAUCCCUGUGGGAAACACACUUUAGACUGCCAACACGCUGCUGUGUCAUAUCUAUACACACCCAUUAUUUAUUUCAAAAUGUAUAUGAGAUAAAAAUCCAAUGUGUGGAUUAAAAACAAA